rnacentral:rRNA from 1 species
UACGUAGGGGGCAAGCGUUGUCCGGAUUUAUUGGGCGUAAAGAGCUCGUAGGUGGCGUGUCGCGUCUGCCGUGAAAGCCCAUGGCUUAACUGUGGGUCUGCGGUGGAUACGGGCAGGCUAGAGGCUGGUAGGGGCAAGCGGAAUUCCUGGUGUAGCGGUGAAAUGCGCAGAUAUCAGGAGGAACACCGGUGGCGAAGGCGGCUUGCUGGGCCAGUUCUGACGCUGAGGAGCGAAAGCGUGGGGAGCGAACAGG